rnacentral:sRNA from 1 species
CUGCCAACCCUGGUCAUUAAAGCACACUAGUAAGCCACAGAAGAGACAAACAAGGCAGCAAUGCAAACUUUCCUACAUUGCCCACCAAUGUGCCUUAAACCUGACGGAGAAACCUUGUUCUUGAAGGUGAAAGGCUAGUUCAGUUUCUGUGCCUAUUAAAACCUCCGUGCCU